GGGCUUCCUUAGGCAGCACAUAUACUAAAAUUGGAAUGACACAAAGAUUAGCAUGGUCCCUGAGCAAGAAUGACAUGCAAAUUUGUGAAGUGUUCCAUAUAGAA
ensembl:snRNA U6 U6 spliceosomal RNA